GAGUCGCGAUUUGGUGUUUUGAUCCGGUCAACAUGUAGAGGAAGGAACGGUGGUCACAAUAGUAGAAAAAUUACAUCGAACAGGAAUCGAGAAGGACCUCAUUGGAGGCAAAAAUUGAGAAAACCCGCGGCGGCGGCACUGGGCUUCGGUGGCUUUUUCGGUCAAUUGGCCGAUGUUUUUGCUCUGAUUUUACCAUAGAUG
rnacentral:lncRNA from 1 species